CCCCUUUUGAAUCUUCUGCUAUUUCAUGCAGCUCAUAAUGUGAAACCACAAGGUGGCUCCUGCAGUCAUGUGAUAUGAUGGAAACAGUGGAAAAGUUCUUGACAAUCCUCCCCUACAACUUACAAAUUGAAUGCCAUUUGCGGACUGCCUUCUGACAAGGUAUAUGAAAUUAGAGUACAGCAAUAGCUACGUACAUACAGGGCACAAGGCAAAGGAAAUUGCAAUCAAAAUCCAAUAAUUAGAAGAAUGGAUCUCAGCAGCCAGUCUUUCAAUUUGCCUCCAGGGGCCUGCAAUUCAUCUGAGAAAUCAGCAAUGUUGCUGCCAGCAGCACCACCACCAGCAUACCAGGACAAUCCUGCUGGAUAUCCUCACUCCUUUCCAAGCCAGCCAAUCCCCCAGGGCCCCUACACCCAGGGGUCGUAUCCAGGACAAACUGUGGUCGCUGUACAGCCUGCAGUUUUUGUGACUGCUGCUCCACUGGCCAAUCCAGUGCCAGAUUACUUGGGUUACUCCAUCUUUACCAUGCUGUGCUGCUGUUUACCUCUGGGAAUUGCUGCGCUGAUUUACUCCUGCUCUACUCGAGAUGCCAACUACUCAGGACAUCGAGAAUUAGCUGAGAGGAGCUCCAAAACGACACUCAUCCUGAAUCAUGUCAGCCUUGGUAUUGGCCUCCUUUUCACUGUAUUGUUUAUUAUCUAUGAGUUUGUGUUGGUUAAAAAUAUGAAUCGGUAUCCAUAACUGUUAGUGCUGUCAUGGUUGGAUGCUGAUUAUACAAACAAAUUUGAUUUUCUUAAUUUUAAAUGUUAUUUGCUUAAUGUGUCAAUAUUCAUACAGUUAAAAAAACUAUGUAAAGGCUGAUUUAAAAGCUUAUACUUGUUUUUGUUCAUCAUAGAAUUGCAUUUUAAGUCAUUACUAACAGAAAUAUAUUCAUAGUGCAUGAGCUUCAUUUUAUAGCAAACUGUAACUGUUUUAUUUUCUCUUUACAUCUAUGAUGUUUUGUUUAGAUCUUUUGCUUAUCUUGUGCGUGGCUGUGGUAUUCUUUAUUUAUGUUUUUAUUUGUUUACGUAUAUUUUAAUUAUGCAUGUACAUAUUUGUAUGGACAUAAAUCAAUAAAUCCAUAAUCCAAAUUGUUAAAAGGCACUAUAUAAAUAAAAAAUAUAAUUAUACAUUUCAUUAUACAUUGUCAUUUUAUUAUACAUUUCAAUCUACCUAUACCUAGAUACCCACCCGCCCGUAUUCUCUCAGAUUUUUAACACAAUUUUUAACAUAAAUGUUUUUCAUUUUAUGCAUUGUGACAGAUUUUUCAAAACC
ensembl:lncRNA